GAUGAACGCUAGCUACAGGCUUAACACAUGCAAGUCGAGGGGAAACGACAUCGAAAGCUUGCUUUUGAUGGGCGUCGACCGGCGCACGGGUGAGUAACGCGUAUCCAACCUGCCCACCACUUGGGGAUAACCUUGCGAAAGUAAGACUAAUACCCAAUGACGUCUCUAGAAGACAUCUGAAAGGGGAUUUAAAGAUUUAUCGGUGAUGGAUGGGGAUGCGUCUGAUUAGCUUGUUGGCGGGGUAACGGCCCACCAAGGCAACGAUCAGUAGGGGUUCUGAGAGGAAGGUCCCCCACAUUGGAACUGAGACACGGUCCAAACUCCUACGGGAGGCAGCAGUGAGGAAUAUUGGUCAAUGGGCGAGAGCCUGAACCAGCCAAGUAGCGUGCAGGAUGACGGCCCUAUGGGUUGUAAACUGCUUUUAUAAGGGAAUAAAGUGGGUCACGUGUGACUUUUUGCAUGUACCUUAUGAAUAAGGACCGGCUAAUUCCGUG
rnacentral:rRNA from 1 species